UGUUAUGUGAAUUUAUGGAUUAAUGAUCAGGAAAUCUUCUGAGAUUCAUGAAUGAACCUGGCUUUUAAAGGCGUCUCACAGGAUGCAGUUAUCAAAAAAUGCCUCACCUGUGGAGCUGAAGCUGAGUCUGCCUUUCUUUGGCUCUCUUUUCUCCUCCCACUGAAACAGAGCCACCUGACUUUCCACCCUGUUUCUAAUCUCAUUCCUGCAAUUUCUACUGAUGAAGUCCCAACUCCAGCCAUGGCCAAUAUUAGCUAGAUGAUUCUUUGAAUCUGGCUAAUGUGGAGUCUUGCAAGGACAAAGAGGAUUUGCUCACUAACCAGUAAGAGGUA